UCAUUUUUGUGACAGAUAUAAGACUAACAAUUAAUUAAGGAAUGUAAUAAACAUUAUGCAAGGGUAUAGAAUCAGAUAAUUUAACAAUGCAUAUAUGAAUUGAAGUUUGAUAACUGUUAGCUAGUGAUGUAGAUUUGAGUGCUUCCGCAUGAGAUUGAAGAUCUAACCUUAAAAUAAAGUGACAAAAUAAAAGGGAAAAAAAAGAAACAAAGAUAGAUUAGGUUGAGAAGAUGAAGAAUGCAC
rnacentral:lncRNA from 1 species